rnacentral:tRNA from 1 species
GAGCAAGAAGUUCUAUUCUUGAUUUCUAAUCAAAGAUUAAAUUAGUUAAAUUCUAAUUUUGCUCU